rnacentral:lncRNA from 1 species
GGUUACUUCUUUAAUAGAAAGGGUAUAAUGGGUAAUUGGGAUGUAGAAAAGGGGUAUGGGGUAGAAAAGGAAUGUAAAUAGGAAGUGCAAAAAAACCUCCUUACAACAAAUAAGGUCUUGGGCGCAGCCCCAUUUUCUAUAGCGAUGCCUUUGGGCACCUUCCUUUAGGGAAUUGCUAGGGGCACUAGCAAGAUUGCUGAUGCACCCAACAAUUUUUUAUAAUUUCCGAAAUAUCCCUUAAUGUUUCUACGGAAGAACCUUC